rnacentral:piRNA from 1 species
UGCUUCCAAAGCCUGUGGAUGCUUCAAAUC